CAAAUGAGGAGGUGUAGCCGGUCCACCCGAUCUCCGACGUCGUAUUCUACCUCCAAAAAAUUUCUUUUUCAGUUCAAUUCUUCGUCACAGGUUCACUGCUAUCACCCGUUUUUGUGAAUCUCUAUUGAAAAUUAGCUCACGUUUUAGUGAAUGAGAAGCGGUUUGUACUUUUAGUUUGAUGCGUGUUCAUGAGUAGUUUAAAAAGUGUGCUUGUUUCCUGCUUUUCUAUAACACUUGUUAGAUUGCUAUCAAAAAAUGUCAUGUAUUCAUGGAUUUGCUGCUGGUGUAGCAGCCCAGCAUGUAUUUUAUCAUCAGUUCGUAAAAGGAAAGCUGAAUCAGUGCAGUGUGCGUGUUAAAAAAAUCAGUUUUAUUUUGUACGGUAGUUCAUUGUAUAUAAAAUUUGCAAUAGUUCUUGCUUUUCAGUUCAUCUACUUCCCCUUCGCAAGUCUAAUUAUUAGAAAUUCAAAUAUGAAAAAUAGCAUCCAUUUUGUUAUGUUCAUCAUAUUCAACCAAUUUUGUAUGUACAGACUUGCCUAUGUUGAUUAGUAGGGUAGAUCUCUGUUGCACAGUCGAGAUGUGUUCAGUCCAACCCCAUGGCAUUAGGGAGGUCGAGUUCGUCGCGAGCAGCAGUACAUGGUUGUUAGCUUACUCCAGCAGCCAGCCUAGCCUUCCCUCUCAGUCAUCAGUCCAACUUCUUGCUCUGACGCCGGUCACUCAAAGAGCCGUGUGCAGGCCACCCGUGUUUCACCUCCUGAUCCAGCUCAACUUUCUCCAUUCUUCAGCAUUUUUGGUAUGAAUUUGAUGAAUCUUCUUGAUACUCUGUUCUUACUCAUUUAGAGCUAGUUUUGUUCCUACAUAUAUGUAUCACUUAGUUUUUAGAUGGCUUAAUUUAGAGAGCUUCCAACUCUGAAACUUGCCAUGCAUAUUUGGGGAUGGAAUGUAAAAUGGAUGAUCCUGUGAUGGAUUGAUGUGCAGGUUCUUUGUGUACUUAAUUUUGACAGAAUUAUUGUAAUACUCUGUAGUGGUAUUAAAUUGGGAACCUAUGGUGCUUCAGUUCGAAGAUCGUUGAUGCUAGCUUCUUCGAGUUUGUCUGCUAUUUCAACUUUUGUUUUAACCUACAUCUUUUUUUUGUUUACAGAUUGUCGCAUGAUACUUGUAUUGGGUGCUAGAGUUCAUGUAUUACUGCCAGGUCAGUUCAAAAAAUAAACCGUAGCUAGUUCAAAUAUAAACUCCCAUGAGGAUUUUGGUCAAGCUUCCUGUGUGGUUCACCCUUGAAGGCGUGAUGCAGGAAUUCAGUACUACUUCUUAUAGUGUUUUUAUUUGUCGCCAGGAAAAAGUCAAGAUCUUCGCACAACAGAGAUCUAGAUGUUUGGAAUCGCGAGAACCGUAAGUUCAAAAAAUUGAAAAACAUUUAAAUAAAUUCCUCCUAUAGUAUAUUAUUACCUCUGUUCGCAAAUUGUUGACGUGGUUUUAGUUCAGUACAUCAUAACUAAAAUUCUUUUCAGAAACUCAAUUCUCGUGUGUAUAUGAUGUGGAUUGUUCAAGCUCUUCCAUUUGCUCUAUUCUAUGGUUGGCUCACUAGUCUGCAACUCUACAAUUGAUUUUUUUUGCCCAUUGUCGUGCCUUCUAGGUGUUUGUUUAAAAUGCAUAAGCGGUUUGUUAUGAGUCCAUGGCAGUCAUGCAGCCUGGGAUUGGGAUAUACAAGAUGGAAGCUACUACUAUUGCCAGCUUUGGAGUUCACAUGCUACAGCACAUGGAUCCAUGGACAAAGAGUUAAUAUGAGAGAGAGAUGGGUUUGUUUCAGUUUGAACAUUUGCUACCCUAGUCAUUUGUUUGUUGCUAAAAUGUCGGAGUCGUACUUCUCAUUCUUGCAUGAAUUUUUUCUAUACCAUCGUCUUUAUUUCUAAAUGUCAGUCACUUUUUUUUGCCGUCAGAUGUUUGCUUAAAUGCCUAAACAAAGAUCUAUUUUAGUUUGGUUCAAAAUCUAGUUUUAGUUCAGUGCAAAUCUUAUUUUAAGUUCAGUACAAUUUCUUAUUUUAGUGUGAGCAAUCCUUCAAAUGUCUUGCCUUAUAUUACUGCUAUGUCAGUACACAGAACAAAAAAAAUUACAUCAAAUUGACAAUGUUUAAUCUCUUCUAUGUUAGUAUAGGCUACAUGUCUACAUCAUUUAAUCUGUAGUAGUAGCAGCAGUCUUGCUAUGUAAAGGAGC
rnacentral:lncRNA from 1 species